CCCCUCUUCUACUAUGCAGGUAACCCGUAGGUAGGAAGCUUAGGGCGCAGCAGAACGGGAAGCGGCCGGUGUAGAUUGGAAGUGGCAUAAGCAUAAGCGGACUAUCUUUUGGAAUGUAUAAUUACUUUCUUUUCAUUUUGGCACUAGGCCGUGAGCUCAAACUCUGAUAUUUUGUAGAGAAAAUUACUAGAAUGUUACACAUUUUAUGGUUUAUUACUAGAAUGUUGUAUAUCUUUGUUUUAUUACUAGAAUGUUUUCUCUUUCCUAGUAAUUUACAAUAAGGGGCUUUUGUUAUGUUUUAUUUUCUGAAACUAAUUUUAAAGAUCAAAGCCACAUCAGUUAUUUAAAAUCCACAUCACAUCAGUUAUUUUUUGAAACCAAACCGUCUCUAUCACUAUCACUAUCACUAUCAUACAUACGGUUUUGUCAAAAAAAAAAAAAAAAAGAACACGAAGAACUGUGUUGUGUCGAAGAAGGAACCGCAAACCGAAAUCGUCUCACCCUUCGAAACCCUCGUCGACAUUGUUCUUUACUUCUUCGAACUCUCUCUAACUCUCUGUCGUUGAACUCUCUAUAACUCUCUGUCGUUGAACUCUGUCUCGUCGGAGUUUUUAGAAACCGUCGUCUGUACGAAAUUGCCUUGACCGCAUUCUCAUCAACGAGUUCAUCUUUUCCGGUAAGAUGUCGCGACAUUAUAUAUUGUAUUUUGGUUGAGUUUGUGGGUCAGUUAUAUAUUGAGGCUGUGAUAUGGGUGUGUCGAGGUUUUUGUUGCGACUGAGUUAGGGUUAUGUUGACUGUGCUAUGGGUUUGUUGAGGAUUUUGUUGUGUCUGAGUUAGGGUUAUAUUGCGG
rnacentral:lncRNA from 1 species